AUGAUCAGCAUUGCCUCAUCCCCUUCCAGGGUGGGGACAGUGAGGGGUGCCGUCAGCCAAGCCUUGGUGGGCGGCACAUGCCAGGGGCUGUGCUGGGCCUCCCCCGUGCUGUGGGGGACGUGGACCCAAGGUUUCAGGAGCCUUGGCUUCCUUGUGACUCUGUGGCCAGCCAGUGGCCGGAGGGUACCUCAAUACGGCUCCUGGGGGCAAGAGUGUGUGUCCCUGGUGGAGGCACUUGACCGUGUGAGCCCAGGGCUGCUGUCCUGCCUCUGUGGCUCCUCUGUAAGGCGGGGACAACUGUGCCCCAAAGUGAUCCCUGAACUCUCGGUGCUUCGAACAGCUGGGGCUGCUGGGGGCGUGAGGCAGGGCGGCACCCUGUGUCUUGGCCACGGGGAGCCCACCCACAGGCUGCUAUGGCCACUCUGUGAAGCGCUCCCACGUGCUGUGGUGCCCAGUAGGGCUCCCUGGGGACUAGCUUUCCUCUUUGGUCUUCAUGGGAGGGCAUGCAGGAGGGGCUGGGAGGCAGCAGAGGAUGGCUCCUGCCCCUCCCACUCUCUGGGCCUCUCCCCUCCCUCUCUGACUCUUUCUGUAUCUACCCACCUCCCCACCAUCUCAGGAUGGGGGUGGCCUGGGCGCCGGCUGCCCGUGGGCUCCAUGCUCAUGACUGACAGGGACCCAGGACCAGGUCAACCAGAUUUUGUUUCCUUCUCAUCAAGGUCAGCCAGCGCUGGGGGCCUCAAGUGGACCCAUGCGAAUCCAAGGUGGACAAGUGCUGAAAGGGAACAGCAGGGGUGUUGCAACAAGCUGAAUGAAUAUCUACACCCAACAUGCGGCUCAAGCUCAUGACCCAACAUCAAGAGUCCCAGGCUGCAUGACUGAACCCACCAGGCAGAGAGAGAGAGGCCAGAGGAGGCCAGAGUCCUGGAGGAGGGCUCUGGGGGCUGUGUCUGUGGGGCCAGCAGAGGGAUGCCCAUGUGCGCCAUCUGUCCCAGCCUCCCGGACAGGCGUGUGUCCUGGUGUCUUUUCCAGGAUGUGGCUGGCCGCUUUGUGCUGGCAUUGCUGAAACCCCACAGCCCUGCAGUGCUUCAUCUGCGCUCACCCAGGGGGUUUCGUUGUGACUCACUUUGGCCGGCAUGCCCUCCUGUUCCUGCAUCCCCACAAAGCCAUAGGGGGAUCAGGCUGCCCAGUGAGAGGAUACAGUGGGCACCAAGGGCCCACUCUGAGUGGGUAGCAGGGGAGAAGCACACAGGUGUGCAAGCCAGCCUCCUCCCCGCCACCCCACAGAGGCUGUGCCCUCGCAGCCAGUGGCCACUACUCUGUGAGCCACAGACCGUGGUCCUGACUUCCUACCCGGGAUAGUGCUCUAGAGACGUCUUCAAAGCCCUCUUUGUUCCCGUGGUCAGUGUGGGGCAUUGAAAGGCCAGGCUCCACCACCCAGCUCCCCUCCCAAACUCCCCUGGUUUGCUGCUGCUGAGCCCAGAAACAUGUCCUGACCACUGGUCAAACGUGGGCCUGCCACAGGUCAGACCCCUGGGGACCCUGGCCGGUGCACCAUUUCUGACAACCAUCACUUUCCAUUCUCACAGAUUUCUCCCUGAGGACCUCCUCCUUCCCCUGGCUCAACUAUGCACCCUUUAGGCCCACUGCCUCAGGGUCUUACUAGGAAUGAUUGCUUCUCUUUUAAUUGAAUGUGGAAAUGUGUUCCAUCCAAGUGGCACUGUUAUUAUUUGAUGUUGAAUUCCAAGUAAAAUAAAAAUUAAAAUUCUCUGUGCUGGCUCA
rnacentral:lncRNA from 12 species